UGUUCUGCUGUUUCUUAAUUUGAAGCUUUUAAUUGGUUUUUUUCAUCUAUUCUAGAGAUUGUCUUGAGUUUGUCUGAUCUGCUGUGUUGACCAUUUCCAUUGCUUUAUUUUGUCCUGUUCUGUUUACCUGUUAUUGCUUUUGCUUAGCCUAUCCAUCUCUGGUUUGAGAAGCUUUCACUUUUGGUGUUUAUUUGGAAAUUUGAGAAAGNUUGUGUGCUUGGUAGCAUCUUAGGUGGUNGUGGUCUAAAAGACUAUCUAGCUUUUACUGCCAAGGGAGAAUCUCCCUUCCAAACCUUUCAUCUGUGUGUUUAAUUUUUUUAAGAGAAGCCUUGAGUGUUGUGAGUCUUGUAAGGCUGACUUUAGCCUGUUGUCCUUGGCAAUUUGUUAGAGAAUCAGUUUUCUUUUAACUGUGUUGCUCACUAUUUUGGAUUGAUCAUUGUGCAGGAAAUUGAAGGAACAAGCAACUGUGAUUGUUGAAACUGCCACAUGCAGAUUUCAGUUGUUUCUAGAUUGAUUGAUUGAGCUNNN
rnacentral:lncRNA from 1 species